rnacentral:tRNA from 1 species
GCCGCCGUAGCUCAGUAGGUAGAGCGCUCGGCUGUUAACCGAGUGGUCGCAGGUUCGAGUCCUGCCGGCGGCG